rnacentral:rRNA from 12 species
GAAACAGCCCAGACCGCCAGCUAAGGUCCCGAAGUUAAGCUAAGUUUAAAGGAGCUGGGAGUGCGAUGACAGCUAGGAUGUUGGCUUAGAAGCAGCCACCAUUUAAAAAGUGCGUAAUAGCUUACUAGUCGAGCAUUCCUGGGCCGAAAAUUGAAGGGAAUAAGCUUAACACCGAAGCUGCGGAUCCGUAAGGAUGGUAGGAGAGCGUUCCAUAAAUAGGACUGAAGGUAGACCGUGA